AGUUCAGCUCUCAGAGAUGGGUUCAAGGGCUUCACUGCUGUGGAUCCUGCUGCUCUGGGUUCCAGGCUCCACUGGGGACAUUGUGCUGACUCAGUCUCCAGUUUCCUUGAUGGUGUCUUCAGGUCAGAGGGCUGCCAUAUCCUGCAGGGCCAGUCAGAGUGUCACUUCAGGCAGUUACAGCUUUAUUAACUGGUAUCAACAGAAACCAAGACAGCCUCCUAAACUCCUGAUCUAUGUACCAUCCAAUCGAGAGUCUGGAGUCCCAGCCAGGUUCAGUGGCAGUGGAUCUGGGACUUAUUUCUCCCUCACAAUUAAUCCUGUGGAGGCCGACGAUGCUGCAAACUAUUACUGCCAGCAGAGUAAGGUGAUUACUCCCACGGUGAUCUAGGUCUAAAGAAAAACCUCCCUAGGCAGCUGCUCACUGAGGCUCAGCUCUCUCAGAAGCUCCUUUCCACCCGACCCC